UACGAAGGGGACUAGCGUUGUUCGGAAUUACUGGGCGUAAAGCGCACGUAGGCGGAUUUGUAAGUCAGGGGGUGAAAUCCCGGGGCUCAACCUCGGAACUGCCUUUGAUACUGCAAAUCUCGAGUCCGAUAGAGGUGGGUGGAAUUCCUAGUGUAGAGGUGAAAAUUCGUAGAUAUUAGGAAGAACACCGGUGGCGAAGGCGGCCCACUGGAUCGGUACUGACGCUGAGGUGCGAAAGCGUGGGGAGCAAACAGG
rnacentral:rRNA from 1 species